rnacentral:rRNA from 1 species
UACGGAGGGUGCAAGCGUUAUCCGGAUUCACUGGGUUUAAAGGGUGCGUAGGAGGGCAGGUAAGUCAGUGGUGAAAUCUCCAAGCUUAACUUGGAACUGCCGUUGAUACUAUCUGUCUUGAAUAUUGUGGAGGUGAGCGGAAUAUGUCAUGUAGCGGUGAAAUGCUUAGAUAUGACAUAGAACACCAAUUGCGAAGGCAGCUCACUACUCAAUCAUUGACUCUGAGGCACGAAAGCGUGGGAUCAAACAGG